rnacentral:rRNA from 1 species
GAACGCUAGCUACAGGCUUAACACAUGCAAGUCGUGGGGCAUCAGGAAGAAAGCUUGCUUUCUUUGCUGGCGACCGGCGCACGGGUGAGUAACACGUAUCCAACCUGCCCUUUACUCGGGGAUAGCCUUUCGAAAGAAAGAUUAAUACCCGAUAGCAUAAUGAUUCCGCAUGGUUUCAUUAUUAAAGGAUUCCGGUAAAGGAUGGGGAUGCGUUCCAUUAGGUUGUUGGUGAGGUAACGGCCCACCAAGCCUUCGAUGGAUAGGGGUUCUGAGAGGAAGGUCCCCCACAUUGGAACUGAGACACGGUCCAAACUCCUACGGGAGGCAGCAGUGAGGAAUAUUGGUCAAUGGGCGCUAGCCUGAACCAGCCAAGUAGCGUGAAGGAUGAAGGCUCUAUGGGUCGUAAACUUCUUUUAUAUAAGAAUAAAGUGCAGUAUGUAUACUGUUUUGUAUGUAUUAUAUGAAUAAGGAUCGGCUAACUCCGUGCCAGCAGCCGCGGUAAUACGGAGGAUCCGAGCGUUAUCCGGAUUUAUUGGGUUUAAAGGGAGCGUAGGUGGACUGGUAAGUCAGUUGUGAAAGUUUGCGGCUCAACCGUAAAAUUGCAGUUGAUACUGUCAGUCUUGAGUACAGUAGAGGUGGGCGGAAUUCGUGGUGUAGCGGUGAAAUGCUUAGAUAUCACGAAGAACUCCGAUUGCGAAGGCAGCUCACUGGACUGCAACUGACACUGAUGCUCGAAAGUGUGGGUAUCAAACAGGAUUAGAUACCCUGGUAGUCCACACAGUAAACGAUGAAUACUCGCUGUUUGCGAUAUACAGUAAGCGGCCAAGCGAAAGCAUUAAGUAUUCCACCUGGGGAGUACGCCGGCAACGGUGAAACUCAAAGGAAUUGACGGGGGCCCGCACAAGCGGAGGAACAUGUGGUUUAAUUCGAUGAUACGCGAGGAACCUUACCCGGGCUUAAAUUGCAGUGGAAUGAUGUGGAAACAUGUCAGUGAGCAAUCACCGCUGUGAAGGUGCUGCAUGGUUGUCGUCAGCUCGUGCCGUGAGGUGUCGGCUUAAGUGCCAUAACGAGCGCAACCCUUAUCUUUAGUUACUAACAGGUUAUGCUGAGGACUCUAGGGAGACUGCCGUCGUAAGAUGUGAGGAAGGUGGGGAUGACGUCAAAUCAGCACGGCCCUUACGUCCGGGGCUACACACGUGUUACAAUGGGGGGUACAGAAGGCAGCUAGCGGGUGACCGUAUGCUAAUCCCAAAAUCCUCUCUCAGUUCGGAUCGAAGUCUGCAACCCGACUUCGUGAAGCUGGAUUCGCUAGUAAUCGCGCAUCAGCCACGGCGCGGUGAAUACGUUCCCGGGCCUUGUACACACCGCCCGUCAAGCCAUGGGAGCCGGGGGUACCUGAAGUACGUAACCGCAAGGAUCGUCCUAGGGUAAAACUGGUGAC